UACCUCUCACUAAACUCAGCCUUCUUCAUUUUCUCUUCCUCCACCUAUUCCAUAUACACAACCAAACUGGAGAUAUCUAUGUCCUUGAUCAACAAGGCAGCCUUACUCUCAAGGACCUACUCGCAAGAUAAUCCCAAAGUAAACUUACAUAUUCUAGCCCUCGUGUUAGAUACCAACGCAGGAGAAUAUUUAGAAAACUAAUGAAAUUUCAAGGUAUACGCAUUGACAGACAUCCUACCCUACCUCAAAUUAAUAAACUCUUCCAUUUU
rnacentral:lncRNA from 1 species